rnacentral:rRNA from 1 species
UACAGAGGGGGCAAGCGUUGUUCGGAAUUACUGGGCGUAAAGGGCGCGUAGGCGGCCGCCUAAGUCAGACGUGAAAUCCCUCGGCUCAACCGGAGAACUGCGUCUGAUACUGGGUGGCUUGAAUCCGGGAGAGGGAUGCGGAAUUCCAGGUGUAGCGGUGAAAUGCGUAGAUAUCUGGAGGAACACCGGUGGCGAAGGCGGCAUCCUGGACCGGCAUUGACGCUGAGGCGCGAAAGCCAGGGGAGCAAACGGG